GUUAUGUAUUAUUCUAGCCUCCUUCACCUUUCUUCCUCUUCUUUUUUUGUUGAACAGACUUUCAUUUCUUCCACGACAACAUGAUGUGCUCAUCACGUGAACAUCUCUGCUGUUUGGACUCUCAUUCUGACGGCACCCAUUCACUGCAGAGCAUCCAUUGCUGAGACACUGAUGCAAUGCUACAUUUCUACAAACCUGAUGAACAAACAAACUCAUCCUGAUCUGGGAUGACCUGAGGAUCGAGAGUAGAAGCUUCACUGUGACCUGAACUCUGCAUCCCAUUUUCCUGUCCACAGCAUUGUUCAAAUGUUAAAACCACAAAACUUUCACUUUUGGCCUCUGACAAACCAAACGCUCUCUCUCUCUCUCUCUCUCUCUCUCUGUGUGUGUGUGUGUGUGUGUGUUUCUACAAGCGCUUACUCACCCUUAUUGUUCUAGAGCCUGACUAAGAAACACGGUCCUGUCUUACUGUUCGAGUAAAGACUUUGAGUCAUCCCUCAGACGCGUGUGUUCAUGUGUCUCUGUGCAUGUGAGACAGCCUUAUCAAGUCUAGGAUACUGAGGAGAAUGUAGUGUAAAUACAUGUUGACUGGGCUUUAUUGACAUUUGAGAUGGCAUGUGCCUCCCCCACCCACACGCUGAUAACCCGGUUACUAGCUGCCUAGCCGUCCGACUGAUGAGCUGUCUCUCAAAUGCACAUUCACACUUACUGAAAAUGAUUCAUCAUUCACCAAUUAGUGCCUUUACUUUUCUGUAACAGCAGCUUCUUAUCAACAACAAGAGACCACAAAAUAUCCUUUUGCAUACGGAGUGUGUGACUCUCUCUGAGUGUGUGCACCCAUACAAACAGAAUAAAAUAGAAUAGAAUAGAAUAAAAU
ensembl:lncRNA